UACAGAGGUCUCAAGCGUUGUUCGGAUUCAUUGGGCGUAAAGGGCGCGUAGGCUGCGGGGCAAGUCGGGUGUGAAAUCUCAGAGCUCAACUCUGAAACUGCACUCGAUACUGCUUUGCUUGAGGACUGGAGAGGAGAUUGGAAUUCACGGUGUAGCAGUGAAAUGCGUAGAUAUCGUGAGGAAGACCAGUGGCGAAGGCGGAUCUCUGGUCCGGUACUGACGCUGAGGUGCGAAAGCGUGGGGAGCAAACAGG
rnacentral:rRNA from 1 species